AACGAACGCUGGCGGCAGGCUUAACACAUGCAAGUCGAACGGGUGCAGCAAUGCAUCAGUGGCAGACGGGUGAGUAACACGUGGGAACCUUCCUAGGGGUACGGAACAACUCAGGGAAACUUGAGCUAAUACCGUAUACGUCCGUGAGGAGAAAGCUUUAUCGCCCUUAGACGGGCCCGCGUCGGAUUAGCUAGUCGGUGGGGUAACGGCAUAGCAAGGCGACGAUCCGCAGCUGAUCUUAGAGGAUGACCAUCCACACUGGGACUGAGACACGGCCCAGACUGCUACGGGGGGCACCAGUGGGGAAUUGUGGACAGUGGGCGCAAGCCUGAACCAGCCAUGCCGCGUGAGUGAAGAAGGUCUUCGGAUUGUAAAGCUCUUUUGCCAGGGACGAUAAUGACGGUACCUGGAGAAUAAGCCCCGGCAAACUGCGUGCCAGCCGCCGCCGUAA
rnacentral:rRNA from 1 species